AGAGGAUCUCCACUACUAAACGAAUUUAAAUUAACUUAUGUAUUUAAAUGUUCCUGUAGUUGAAAAUGGCUCCACGCAUCAGUCCCCUUAAAGAUGCCAGGAAUCAUGUGAUUGCAAAGACGGACAAAACUUGCAUGUUGGAUGUGCAGUAGGCUACAUCAAUGCAUUGAAAGGAAAGAUAUUAAAUGUGGGGAUUUCUCAGUUAAUAAUUGCUAUCAUAUACAAUAUUAAUGACAUGCAAUCGGUUAUGUCAAAUCAGCUGCAAUCUAUUGUCAGUUUUUGUGUUAUCAAUCCUUUUUAGACAAUAUUUGCAUUUGUAAAACAUUACGGUUAACUUAUUUUUAAACCAAAAUGGACAUGCAUGCUUUCUUUUUAUGGUGCAAAUGUUUUUUUUACAGGUCGUGGUGUAUUUGCAAAGGGUUCCAUUUCUCAAGGAGAUUUCGUUCUCGAAUACAGGGGAGAAUUCCUGUUGUUGAAGCCCAGAGAAGGAGGCUGAUAUACCACGAAUCAUGUACUGCAUUCAUGUUUAGGUGGAGAGGGAAAACAUGGUGUAUCGAUGCCGCCAGAGAUGACGGUUCACUUGGGCGCCUCGUUAACGACGAACACAGGCGUCCAAACUGUAAAAUGAAAAAUAUUGAUGUCAAUGGAAGCCCACAUCUUUGUUUGUUUGCCCUUAUGGACAUAAAACAAGGAGAAGAAAUUUCAUACGAUUAUGGAGGUGAAGACUGCCCAUGGAGAACAGAAACGACCACAGUUGGACCAAAUGCACUGCUGGUAGAAGAUUUGCAUACUGUUGUCCUGGCAAAUACCGAAGUGGGUGAUGCUACUCAUCCAAACAUCGCUCAACAGAUGACCACAGUUGGAGACGAUGCCCUGCUAGAUGGGGGCUCGAAACCUGUCCUUUCAAAUACCGAAGGGGAUGAUGAUGCU